UUGACACCUCCCCUCGCCAUGAUACUCUGAAAGAUCUGCCUGUGAGGUAGGACUUGAAAUAAAUAAAGACAGUGGUUCAUGAGGCUUCAUCUGUCCAUCUCUAGAUCACAGAUAAAUGUACUAAAUCUGUGUAUUGGUUGAUACUUCAUAACCAUUGACAGUGCUAUGUUUACUGUGUGUGUGUGUGUGUGUGUGUGUGUGUGUGUGUGUGUGUGUGUACGUAUCGUGGAUAAUCAGUGGAAAAACAGUGAAUGCAUCUCUGGACCAUUGUCUGAGUUUUUCCUCCUGGCUGUGUGACUGCAGUCAGCUGGAGCUGUGGCUUCAUCAGGGACUGUCCGUCUGUCUGUCUCUGCUGUGUGACGGCGUCUUGUCCUCUGGCUUCUCUUCUGUGCUCAGUCCCUGCCAGGAUAAUGAAGCCCCGGACAACAUAGCUCCUGGGAUCACGCGGGAACUCAAACUCCCCCCACCACUUUAAGGUGGCAGGUCCUGAAGCAAAUCCCUGAAUCUCAAACUGCUCCCAGUGGAAGAACACAGCAUCUUGCAUGGGGCAGCCAUUGUUUAGGGCAGUGGUGGCCUGGAGGGCAGAGAAGGGGACAUUUGAUCAAGAGUUCACAGGUUCAGUUUCCACUGUGGGUCUCUGAGCAAGGCAUCAGUACUGUAAUGUGGUAACACCUCUGUGUUCUAGAAAUAGGAUUGAUCAAUAUGAAAAAAUGUGCAGUAAAAUAAUGUUUUAUGCCUUUUCAAUAAAAAAAAGAAGCAUCAUUGUAUUUUCAGAAAAGCUUCGUACCAGAUGCAUUUCAAGGCUUUGAUGUUGGUAUUCAGUCAUACGAUGUGUUUUUUAACCAUCAUUAGAGGUCAGGUAGAAAAGAACAUCUCUCAAAUCCUUUGAUCCACUAAUUGUUCUGGUGGUUUGUUCCUAAUCUUCAAGAAGAAAACAAGUUGUUGCAGUGCAGCUUUGGUAAGAAGUUUAUCAAACACUCUGGGUCCUGGAUAAAAGCCUGAGUCCUCCGUACACCGUCACACCGUCAAGAUGUUCGUUCUGAAGACUUUCCUUCUGCUGCUGGUUGCUGGAGCUGUGCUGGUGUCAGGAACUGCUCCAUCCACCGCCACGGAGGAAACUCAAACUGAAGCUGUACGGGCUCAACGUGACCUCUUCAACCGUGUACCUCCAGGACAUGGACUGGCAGGAAAUGGAGGUCCUCCAAUAGGAGCAGGACUGGCAGAAAAUGCUCCUCCACCUCCUCUGGGGAGGUAGAUGCUGUCUGAUGUUCUACAGAACAUCCGUCGGUAGUGAUGGCGUCCUCAUGACCAUUAAAGGGACGGAUGGAGACGUCUGGGACUAAACAUCUGCAGAUCACCUUCACCAUGAGUCACUGCUUCAUCUGAAAUCAUCUUCUCCUUUUAAAAUCAUCUUCUUCACU